rnacentral:rRNA from 1 species
AUUGAACGCUGGCGGCAGGCCUAACACAUGCAAGUCGAACGGUAACAGGAAGACGCUUGCUUCUUUGCUGACGAGUGGCGGACGGGUGAGUAAUGUCUGGGAAACUGCCUGAUGGAGGGGGAUAACUACUGGAAACGGUAGCUAAUACCGCAUAACGUCGCAAGACCAAAGAGGGGGACCUUCGGGCCUCUUGCCAUCGGAUGUGCCCAGAUGGGAUUAGCUAGUAGGUGGGGUAACGGCUCACCUAGGCGACGAUCCCUAGCUGGUCUGAGAGGAUGACCAGCCACACUGGAACUGAGACACGGUCCAGACUCCUACGGGAGGCAGCAGUGGGGAAUAUUGCACAAUGGGCGCAAGCCUGAUGCAGCCAUGCCGCGUGUAUGAAGAAGGCCUUCGGGUUGUAAAGUACUUUCAGCGGGGAGGAAGGGAGUAAAGUUAAUACCUGUACUCAUUGACGUUACCCGCAGAAGAAGCACCGGCUAACUCCGUG